GGCCCAGAUCGUUUACCGUGAAAAAAUUAGAGUGUUCAAAGCAGGCAGAUCCAAUUUUCUGCCACCGAAUACAUUAGCAUGGGAUAAUGGAAUAGGACCCUGUCCUCCUAUUUUCAGUUGGUUUUGGCAGCGCGAGGACUAGGGUAAUGAUUAAUAGGGAUAGUUGGGGGCAUUAAUAUUUAAUUGUCAGAGGUGAAAUUCUUGGAUUUAUGAAAGAUUAACUUCUGCGAAAGCAUCUGCCAAGGAUGUUUUCAUUAAUCAAGAACGAAAGUUAGGGGAUCGAAGACGAUCAGAUACCGUCGUAGUCUUAACCAUAAACGAUGCCGACCAGCGAUUAGGAGACGUUGAAUACAAAACACCACCAUCGGUGCGGUCAUCCUUGGCGUUGGUCUUGCAAAAGGCCAGCGCGGGGGUGGCUUAGCCCGGUGGCACCGGUGAAUGACUCCCCUAGCAGCUUGUGAGA
rnacentral:rRNA from 1 species